UUUUUAUUCUGUUUCCUUGAAUCAAUCAUCAGCACCAUCACAGGGUUCUUACCCAUUCUCAAAGGAUCUAGGCUUCACCUGGGAGAUAAAGGAAGCAGAAGAGAGAGAAAACUAGGGAGCUAUAUAUUUUUCUUUCAUUUGACAGAUAUAUUAGAUCUGUUAGCUCAUUGCUGAAAGAAAGGGAAUAGAGGAUUUGUGUUUGACAAUGUGGGCCAAAGGGAGUCUAUCUUAUUAAUGAACUAGCUCCCCAUAGCAUUUCUUAGGAGUGCUGAUCUUGGAUGACCUGAGAAGAAAUAUGUUCUGCCAGAAUAAUCUCAUUUUUGUACAUCCAGUCAUUAUACUAAACUUGGUUACAACAGCAAAAAGCUAGAGCACUGAGUUUGUAUCUUCACAAUCAUAAAAUAUCUCAUCAACUAAAUCAGUGAAAACAGUGAAAGACCACAAACAAAGCCCCAGUCUUGAAGAGACUGAGUCCAGAAUAUUGGAGUCUUGCUCAUGGGCACCAUUCCCUGAUCUGGGCUACUCUUCCUGGUGUUGCCCUCCUACAGUCUGCCUAGGAAUAGUCUGGGGCCAGUGCACCUGAGAACAGUUUAUGGCAUCUGUGUGCUACCCACCUAGGGCAGUACCUGCUGACUUGCUUCCAGCCCUGCAAAGGAAGGAGAGUGAAGCUUCUAUGAAGAAACUGAAGUUAGAAUAUUGCAAUCCCUCACCGAAGGCCACAGAUGGUAUUGGUCAAGAUGAAGAAACUCAAGCUCCAAGAAGUUAAAAUGACCUGGCCAAGGGAGCUACCAGGCUGUCGGCAAACUGCUAGUCCUUAAGCCCUGUGCUCAUACUAAGAUGUGCUAUUUCUCAGAGCUAUAAGGCAGAGCAUAUAGGAGGCCACAGUACUCUAUGAAGUCAUAAGGCAAGAAGAUGUUUUGGAGCAGAAAACCAUGUGCAGGGCCUGGAGAUUGAGGAUAACUUUCUGAGAUUCAGUGUGUCAAAGAAAGAUCUUUAUGCCUAGAAGCACAAGGAUUUUGCUGUCUACUUCUUUCUUUUCCCUUGGACCUCCCAAGAUGACUGAGCCAGCCCCAUUCCAUGAGGAAAGGAGAAUGGGAGAAAGGUCUAAAGUCAUCCACUUCAAGUUUCAAGGAUGGCUCCCCAUGGAGUUGAUUGAUAUGUUGCCGAUGAAGACUAUCCCAUCAUAAAAAACACUGUGUG